GUCAAAUUCUAACUGCAGAGAAUGAUCAGGAAAGAUCAAUUUGAGGAAAUAACAUUUGAGCUAGACUUUUAAGGAGGAGAAAGAGCCAGCUGCAGAAAGCCAACAAGAGGGGUGUUUGAUGCAAAGAAAAUCAUAAACCGACCCCCAGCUGGAAAUGAUCCUAACCUGUGGAAGCUCCUGAAUUGAGUGAGGGACUGGCCGGCAGGAGAGCAUAACACAGCUCAUCCUGACUGAUGCCACCAUUUCCAGAUAAGAGAAAUGCGACUGAGAAAGAUUAAGAUAUUUUCUUAAGAUUGGACAUUGUGUUCCUACCCAUUGUGCUUGCCUUAUAGUUGAAAGAGAGUUUAUUUAAGCACAGAGAUCAAGCAAGAGUGGAGCACAGGACACACUUUCAGGUUGCCUUGGGGACUGCUCUGUAGAACAAAAAAUCAAACUCAAGAUUUUAAGGAAAAAAAGUACAAGUGAAGAGAAGGCGUGAUUACCAAAGUUGUUGAUCUAAUUCUCAUUGAUUUACAGAAAUAACAGUGGCUAAUGAUCAGCUAUACAUUGUUGAAUUAUAGGAUGUAUGGCAUUUAAAAAUGUAUUUAUUUAAAACUAAUUUUUUUAGAUUUUUGAUGGAUUUAGGGGUACAGGUGCAGUUGUGUUACAUGUAUAUAUUUUGUAGAGAUGAAAUCUGGGCUUUUACGUACAACUACCCAAAAAAGAUACAUUGUACCCAAUAGGCAGCAUUUCACUUUCACCCUCAUUCUAUCCUCCCACUGUUUGGAGCCUCCAAUGUCUAUCAUUCCACUCAGUAAGUCCAUGUCCACGGUUUAGCACCCAUGUAUAAUUGGGAACAUGCAGUUCUUGAUUUUCUGUUUCUGAGUCAUUUCACUAAGGGUAAUGGCCUCCAGUUCCACACACAUGCUGCAAAAGUCAUAAUUUCAUCCACUUUUAUGGCUGAAUAGUAUUCCAUGGUAUAUAUCUACCAGAUUGUUUUAUUCAAUGAUAUGUUGAUGGACACUUAGGUUGAUUUCGCAAUUUUGCUAUUCUGAAUUGUGCUACAAUAAACAUACAAAUGCAGAAGGCUUUUUUAUAUAAUGAUUUCUUUCUUUUUGGGGAGUACAUGUGCAGUAGUGGAAUUGCUGGAUUGAAGGGUAGUUCUAUUUUUAGUUUUCUAGAAAUUAUCAUACUGUUUUCCAUAGAGGUCAUGCUAAUUACACACCAACCAAUACAUAUUUUCCAACAUCUUGCUUUUUGACCAUUUUUGAGACAGGGUCUCCCUCUGUUGCCCAGGCUGAAGUGCAGUGGCAUGAUCAUAGGUCACUGCAACCCCAAUCUCUUGGGCUCAAGGCAUCCUCUUGGGUCUGCCUCCUGAGUAGUAAGGACUACAGGCCCAUACCACCACACCUGGAUAUUUUUUUUCUUGUUUCUUGAGACAAGGUUCCACUAUGUUGCCCAGGCUUAUCUUGAAUGCCUGGACUCAAGUGAUUCACCCACCUCAGCCUCUCAAAAUACUGUGAUGACAAGCAUGAACCACUGCACUUGGCCAUUUUUUGACUGUUUAAUAACAGCCAUUGUGACUAUUAUAAGAUGGUAUGGCAUUGCGGCUUUAAUUUUCAUUUCUCUGACAUUUAAUUAUGUUAAGUAUUUUCAUAUGUUUGCCGUUUAUAUGUCUUUUAUUUAAAAAUGUCUGUUCAUACCCUGUGGCCACUUUUUAAUGGGGUUAUUCUUGUUUUUCUUGUUGAGUUGUUUAAGUUCCUUGUAGAGCCUGGAUAUUAGCUCUUUGUCAGAUACACUGCUGGCAAAUCUUUCCGCCCAUUCUGCAGGUUGUUUGUUUACUGAGAAUUAUUUCUUUUGAUGUGCAGAAGCUUUUUAGUUUUAUUAAGUCCCAUUUCUCUG